rnacentral:rRNA from 1 species
UACGGGAGGCAGCAGUGGGGAAUAUUGGACAAUGGGCGAAAGCCUGAUCCAGCCAUGCCGCAUGAGUGAAGAAGGCCUUCGGGUUGUAAAGCUCUUUUAGUGAGAAAGAUAAUGACGGUACUCACAGAAGAAGUCCUGGCUAACUCCGUGCCAGCAGCCGCGGUAAUACGGAGAGGGCUAGCGUUAAUCAGAAUUACUGGGCGUAAAGAGCACGUAGGUGGUUUUUUAAAGUCAGAUGUGAAAUCCCUGGGCUUAACCUAGGAACUGCAUUUUGAAACUGAAAUACUAGAGUAUCGUAGAGGGAGGUAGAAUUCUAGGUGUAGCGGUGAAAUGCGUAGAUAUCUGGAGGAAUACCUGUGGCGAAAGCGGCCUCCUAAACGAAUACUGACACUGAGGUGCGAAAGCGUGGGGAGCAAACAGGGAUUAGAACC